rnacentral:rRNA from 1 species
CAGGACGAACGCUGGCGGUAUGCUUAACACAUGCAAGUCGAACGAGACGAGAUGGAAGGAUCCUUCGGGUGACGGAAAUCUUAGAAAGUGGCGAACGGGUGAGUAACGCGUGGGUAACCUGCCCUAUGGAAAGGAAUAGCCUCGGGAAACUGGGAGUAAUGCCUUAUAAUACAUUGAAGUCGCAUGGCUUUGAUGUUAAACGCUCCGGUGCCAUAGGAUGGACCCGCGUCCCAUUAGCUAGUUGGUGAGGUAACAGCCCACCAAGGCGACGAUGGGUAACCGGUCUGAGAGGGCGAACGGUCACACUGGAACUGAGACACGGUCCAGACUCCUACGGGAGGCAGCAGUGGGGAAUAUUGCGCAAAUGGGGGAAACCCUGACGCAGCAAUACCGCGUGAGUGAAGAAGGUUUUCGGAUCGUAAAGCUCUGUUAUUGGGGAAGAAAAAAGACGGUACCCAAGAAGAAAGUCCCGGCUAACUACGUGCCAGCAGCCGC